rnacentral:rRNA from 1 species
GUGAGGAAUAUUGCGCAAUGGAGGCAACUCUGACGCAGCCAUGCCGCGUGCAGGAAGAAGGCGCUACGCGUUGUAAACUGCUUUUAACCGGGAAGAAACCCCAGGACGUGUCCUGGGUUGACGGUACCGGAGGAAUAAGCACCGGCUAACUUCGUGCCAGCAGCCGCGGUAAUACGAAGGGUUCAAGCGUUAUCCGGAUUCAUUGGGGUUAAAGGGUGCGUAGGCGGAGCGUUAAGUCAGUGGUGAAAUCCUGCAGCUUAACUGUAGACUUGCCAUUGAUACUGGCGCUCUUGAGUGCGCUUGAAGUGGGCGGAAUGUGCCGUGUAGCGGUGAAAUGCUUAGAUAUGGCACAGAACACCAAUUGCGAAGGCAGCUCACUAAGGCGAUACUGACGCUGAGGCACGAAAGCGUGGGGAUCGAACAGGAUUAGAAACCCGUGUAGUCC